rnacentral:rRNA from 1 species
CCUACGGGAGGCAGCAGUGGGGAAUAUUGGACAAUGGGGGCAACCCUAAUCCAGCCAUGCCGCGUGUGUGAAGAAGGCCCUCGGGUUGUAAAGCACUUUCAGUGAGGAAGAACGCCUGGUGGUUAAUACCCAUCAGGAAAGACAUCACUCACAGAAGAAGCACCGGCUAACUCCGUGCCAGCAGCCGCGGUAAUACGGAGGGUGCGAGCGUUAAUCGGAAUUACUGGGCGUAAAGCGCGCGUAGGUGGCUUGAUAAGCCGGUUGUGAAAGCCCCGGGCUCAACCUGGGAACGGCAUCCGGAACUGUCAAGCUAGAGUGCAGGAGAGGAAGGUAGAAUUCCCGGUGUAGCGGUGAAAUGCGUAGAGAUCGGGAGGAAUACCAGUGGCGAAGGCGGCCUUCUGGACUGACACUGACACUGAGGUGCGAAAGCGUGGGUAGCAAACAGGAUUAGAUACCCUAGUAGUC